rnacentral:rRNA from 1 species
UGGGGAAUAUUGCACAAUGGGCGCAAGCCUGAUGCAGCCAUGCCGCGUGUAUGAAGAAGGCCUUCGGGUUGUAAAGUACUUUCAGCGGGGAGGAAGGGAGUAAAGUUAAUACCUUUGCUCAUUGACGUUACCCGCAGAAGAAGCACCGGCUAACUCCGUGCCAGCAGCCGCGGUAAUACGGAGGGUGCAAGCGUGAAUCGGAAUUACUGGGCGUAAAGCGCACGCAGGCGGUUUGUUAAGUCAGAUGUGAAAUCCCCGGGCUCAACCUGGGAACUGCAUCUGAUACUGGCAAGCUUGAGUCUCGUAGAGGGGGGUAGAAUUCCAGGUGUAGCGGUGAAAUGCGUAGAGAUCUGGAGGAAUACCGGUGGCGAAGGCGGCCCCCUGGACGAAGACUGACGCUCAGGUGCGAAAGCGUGGGGAGCAAACAGG